UACGUAGGGUGCAAGCGUUGUCCGGAAUUAUUGGGCGUAAAGAGCUCGUAGGCGGUCUGUCGCGUCUGCUGUGAAAACGCGAGGCUUAACCUCGCGCCUGCAGUGGGUACGGGCAGACUAGAGUGCGGUAGGGGAGACUGGAAUUCCGUGGUGUAGCGGUGGAAUGCGCAGAUAUCAGGAGGAACACCGGUGGCGAAGGCGGGUCUCUGGGCCGUUACUGACGCUGAGGAGCGAAAGCAUGGGGAGCGAACAGG
rnacentral:rRNA from 1 species